UAGGGAGACCUAAUCCAUUUAGAAAUCGAAAACAAUGAAAAUUGUCAAUAGAAACUAAAUUGGUCUAACCUAGGUCGUUCGAGACUGGUAGACAUCUUUCAAAGUAUUAUUCGGCUUCGUUCAAAACCAUAUAUAAUAAAUGGAAAAAGACAGCACCUAAUUGUCAAAGUUAGACUGCUGGAUGAAGUUCCAGCCAGAACCUUGAAAACUGCAUAAGAGAACAAGAAAAAGCAGGCAGACACAGACAUUUAGAUGGAUGUGGAAGCAAAAGAAAUUGU
rnacentral:misc_RNA from 1 species